AACCAGACUCCUACGGGAGGCAGCAGUGGGGAAUAUUGCACAAUGGGCGAAAGCCUGAUGCAGCAACGCCGCGUGAAGGAAGAAGGCCUUCGGGUCGUAAACUUCUGUCCUUGGGGAAGAAGAACUGACGGUACCCAAGGAGGAAGCCCCGGCUAACUACGUGCCAGCAGCCGCGGUAAUACGUAGGGGGCAAGCGUUAUCCGGAAUUAUUGGGCGUAAAGAGUACGUAGGUGGCAACCUAAGCGCAGGGUUUAAGGCAAUGGCUCAACCAUUGUUCGCCCUGCGAACUGGGAUGCUUGAGUGCAGGAGAGGAAAGCGGAAUUCCUAGUGUAGCGGUGAAAUGCGUAGAUAUCAGGAGGAACACCGGCGGCGAAGGCGGCCUGCUGGACCGCGACUGACGUUGAGGCUCGAAAGCGUGGGGAGCGAACAGGAUUAGAUACCCGCGUAU
rnacentral:rRNA from 1 species